GCAUUGGUAGUGUAAUGGAUCAGGACGACAGACCGGAUAUCUGUGAGUGCGGGUUCGAGUUCUGCCCGAGGUC
rfam:Dictyocaulus viviparus strain HannoverDv2000 D_viviparus-1.0_Cont854.1, whole genome shotgun sequence.